rnacentral:rRNA from 1 species
AUACGGAGGGUGCAAGCGUUGUUCGGAUUUACUGGGCGUAAAGAGAGUGUAGGUUGUUUAUUAAGUCGGAUGUGAAAUCCCGGGGCUCAACCUCGGAACUGCAUUCGAUACUGGUAGACUAGAGUUCGGGAGGGGUAAGCGGAAUUCCGUGUGUAGCAGUGAAAUGCGUAGAUAUACGGAGGAACACCUGAGGCGAAGGCGGCUUACUGGACCGAUACUGACACUGAGACUCGAAAGCGUGGGUAGCAAACAGGAUUAGAAACCCUAGUAGUCC